CGUUUGCUGAGUCCUCCUGUUUUGUCAUCGCUGGGCCCUGUAAGAAGUUUGCCAGGAGGUCCCCAGAAGUAGAAGGACCAUGUUGUCUCUGGUCAUGGAGUUUCAUCACAGCAAUAGGAACCCUAAGACAUACAUACCUGUAAUCUGGAAUUGGACGUGGGAGGACCGAGAGUUCAAGGUCACUCUUGGUUAUUUAAUGAGACUGAGCUGCCACACAUUUGGAAAACUUGUAUAUUUAUGUAAAGCUCCAAUAUCCAGUCUCAAGGAUGACUCAGUAUGGUAAAGACCCUCGCUGCCAGGCUUGAUGACUUACGCUUGAGUCCUGGAUCCCACAUGGUGGAAAAGUCAACUUUCACAAGUUUUUGACCUUCACAGUAGUCACAUACAAACAACAAAACCCUAGUUUGGGACCGUAGAGAUGGCUCAGCCAUCGUCUGUUGAGAGCCCUUCACAUAGCUUCUCACAACUGCCUGUAACUCCUGUUUCCAGGGAGUUGGUGCACAUGUAUAACAUGUGCACUCAUACACGUGAAAAUAAAUGGAUCUUUAAAAUACAAAAAUAAAAACAAAGUUUUAGGUUGGUCC
rnacentral:lncRNA from 1 species